ACUCCUACGGGAGGCAGCAGUGGGGAAUUUUGGACAAUGGGCGAAAGCCUGAUCCAGCAAUGCCGCGUGAGUGAAGAAGGCCUUCGGGUUGUAAAGCUCUUUUGUCAGGGAAGAAACGGUGAGAGCUAAUAUCUCUUGCUAAUGACGGUACCUGAAGAAUAAGCACCGGCUAACUACGUGCCAGCAGCCGCGGUAAUACGUAGGGUGCAAGCGUUAAUCGGAAUUACUGGGCGUAAAGCGUGCGCAGGCGGUUUUGUAAGUCUGAUGUGAAAUCCCCGGGCUCAACCUGGGAAUUGCAUUGGAGACUGCAAGGCUAGAAUCUGGCAGAGGGGGGUAGAAUUCCACGUGUAGCAGUGAAAUGCGUAGAUAUGUGGAGGAACACCGAUGGCGAAGGCAGCCCCCUGGGUCAAGAUUGACGCUCAUGCACGAAAGCGUGGGGAGCAAACAGGAUUAGAUACCCUUGUAGUCC
rnacentral:rRNA from 1 species